rnacentral:rRNA from 1 species
UACGGAGGGAGCUAGCGUUGUUCGGAAUUACUGGGCGUAAAGCGCGCGUAGGCGGCUUUGUAAGUUAGAGGUGAAAGCCCGGGGCUCAACCCCGGAAUUGCCUUUAAGACUGCAUCGCUUGAAUCCAGGAGAGGUGAGUGGAAUUCCGAGUGUAGAGGUGAAAUUCGUAGAUAUUCGGAAGAACACCAGUGGCGAAGGCGGCUCACUGGACUGGUAUUGACGCUGAGGUGCGAAAGCGUUGGGAGCAAACAGG